CAGCUGUUAGUGUUUCAAUAAAGCUUGUUAACUUUCUAAACGUUGCACUUUCUGAACACAGUAUCGGGACAAACUGCUCGUUUCUCUAUGUUUUCCUUCGAUAAAUAAGCAAAUUAAUUUUGCUACACUAUUCACAUUUUUUCGAUAGAAACAUUUGUGAGACAUUUAUUUAUCAUAAUUACAUAUUUACUAAUGUAUUUAGCAGCAAUUAUGGAAUAUCAAAUGUUUGAAUUUGGCGCCGUUUGCAUUAGUAUCACCUGAUGAGUCACAGAUGUCAGAGCCAUACGGAAAUCAAUUUCAAUUCAAGAAAGUGAGCUGUGUACCAUAUUACCGGGUAAUAUGAAUAGUCAGGGGUCAGUAAAUCAUGGGAGAACAAAGCGAAAGAUACUAAAGGAUUUAAUGAAACACAAUUCCAGGAAUACGAGCAAUAAUUACGUAUCACGGAUAUAGACUUGCGUAAACACUACACCUCAUUUAAAGUAUGCAUGGCAUAGUUAACUUUAAAUUCAACAAAAAAGUGGAAAAAUUAAAUUUGAAAUAUAAAGGAAUUGUAGAAACUGAUUAUAUCGUUAC